GGAGUAAGAUUUGUAUCAAAUAAAAGCUUCUAACUUUUUUUAAGCGGUUUAAAUCCGUUUUUAUUCCU
rnacentral:tRNA from 1 species